GGAGUGGAGCAGUUCAUUUAUCUGUAAGGAACUUACACUUGGAAAUCAGCAGUUUGUCCUUGUGCCGUGUGUUAUAAACAUUCCUGUGUGUUUCUCCUACAGACUUGAUAAAAUGUCUCUAUUUUCAUCGUGGAUCAAAGCUAUUUUCAUCAUUGCCUUGGUAUAUCCUCUUUAUUCUGAAACUGGUUUUGUACCUUCAGCAGACACACGUGAAAAGCCAAACUGUGAUGUGUAUGUGGAUCAAUUACAUUAUUGCACCAGAGAAAUGGAUCCAGUCUGUGCAACCAAUGGCCAAACUUAUUCCAACAGAUGCGUUUUCUGCAGUGAAAAGCUCGAAAAUAGUGGAAAAUUCGAUUUUAGUCAUUAUGGUGAGUGCUGACUGCCUCAGGCGCACACUUCUGUGGCUUUUAUUGCAAUCCUGUGCUGCUGUGGAUUCUACAACCGAUGAGUCCUCUCAGUCAGGCCUUGAAUUCCUAGAUGACCAGACAAAGUCCCCUAAGCCCUGAAUCUACUAAAGUCAAGGCUUUACCUAAGAAGUGGACUCAUGAAUCCCUCUGCUGACAACUUAUCUGCCUUUGAAGCUCAAAGCUGUCCCUCAAUUUCAGACUAAGGUAAGCUGUGAGGUGUUAGCUAGAACCCCAAAAGUAGGACAGAAUGCUAAUAUAUUUUUCUUAUUUUAGUAAAUACGUGCAAGACAUUCUCUUCCCCAGUAGCAGGACGGCUCAUUUAAAAAUUUACACACAAAAAAUUAUAUUGUCAAGCAGAGUAUGAGGUUAUUAAAAAUAGCA